rnacentral:rRNA from 1 species
GCGGCGUGCACAAACAUGCAAGUCGAGCGAACGGACGAGAAGCUUGCUUCUCUGAUGUUAGCGGCGGACGGGUGAGUAACACGUGGAUAACCUACCUAUAAGACUGGGAUAACUUCGGGAAACCGGAGCUAAUACCGGAUAAUAUUUUGAACCGCAUGGUUCAAAAGUGAAAGACGGUCUUGCUGUCACUUAUAGAUGGAUCCGCGCUGCAUUAGCUAGUUGGUAAGGUAACGGCUUACCAAGGCAACGAUGCAUAGCCGACCUGAGAGGGUGAUCGGCCACACUGGAACUGAGACACGGUCCAGACUCCUACGGGAGGCAGCAGUAGGGAAUCUUCCGCAAUGGGCGAAAGCCUGACGGAGCAACGCCGCGUGAGUGAUGAAGGUCUUCGGAUCGUAAAACUCUGUUAUUAGGGAAGAACAUAUGUGUAAGUAACUGUGCACAUCUUGACGGUACCUAAUCAGAAAGCCACGGCUAACUACGUGCCAGCAGCCGCGGUAAUACGUAGGUGGCAAGCGUUAUCCGGAAUUAUUGGGCGUAAAGCGCGCGUAGGCGGUUUUUUAAGUCUGAUGUGAAAGCCCACGGCUCAACCGUGGAGGGUCAUUGGAAACUGGAAAAACUUGAGUGCAAAAGAGGAAAGUGGAAUUCCAUGUGUAGCGGUGAAAUGCGCCAAAGAUUGGAGGAACACC